GGACCCGACUGCUAUCGGAUUGGGACUAAGCCAUGCGAGUCAACUCCGCAAGGGGUGGCGCACGGCUCAGUAACACGUAGUCAACCUACCCUAGGGACGGGGAUAACCUCGGGAAACUGAGGCUAAACCCUGAUAGGCUAUAACUUCUGGAAUGGGUUAUAGCUGAAAUCUAUAUGGCCCUAGGAUGGGACUGCGGCCGAUCAGGUUGUUGGUGGGGUAAUGGCCCACCAAGCCUAUAACCGGUGCGGGCUCUGAGAGGAGGAGCCCGGAGAUGGGCACUGAGACAAGGGCCCAGGUCCUAUGGGGCGCAGCAGGCGCGAAACCUCCGCAAUGGGCGAAAGCCCGACGGGGUUAGUCCGAGUGACUCCUGCUAAAGGAGUCUUUUGCCAGCUGUAAAAAGGCUGGAGAAUAAGGGGUGGGCAAGUUUGGUGUCAGCCGCCGCGGUAAUACCAGCACCCCGAGUAGUCGGGACGAUUAUUGGGCCUAAAGCAUCCGUAGCCGGUCUAACAAGUCCUCCGUUAAAUCCAACGGCUCAACCGUUGGGCUGCGAGGGAUACUGUUAGACUAGGGGGCGGGAGAGGCGAGGGGUGUUCCCAGGGUAGGGGUAAAAUCCACUGAUCCUGGGAGGACCACCAGUGGCGAAGGCGCCUCGCUAGAACGCGCCCGACGGUGAGGGAUGAAAGCUAGGGGAGCGAACCGGAUUAGAUACCCGGGUAGU
rnacentral:rRNA from 1 species